CCUACGGGAGGCAGCAGUGGGGAAUAUUGCACAAUGGGCGCAAGCCUGAUGCAGCGACGCCGCGUGAGGGAUGACGGCCUUCGGGUUGUAAACCUCUUUCAGUAGGGAAGAAGCGAAAGUGACGGUACCUGCAGAAGAAGCGCCGGCUAACUACGUGCCAGCAGCCGCGGUAAUACGUAGGGCGCAAGCGUUAUCCGGAAUUAUUGGGCGUAAAGAGCUCGUAGGCGGUUUGUCGCNUCUGCCGUGAAAGUCCGGGGCUCAACUCCGGAUCUGCGGUGGGUACGGGCAGACUAGAGUGAUGUAGGGGAGACUGGAAUUCCUGGUGUUGCGGUGCCAUGCGCGGAUAUCGGGAGGAACACCGGUGUCCAAGGCAGGUCUCUGGGCAUUAACUGACGCUGAGGAGCGAAAGCAUGGGGAGCGAACAGGAUUAGAUACCCUGGUAG
rnacentral:rRNA from 1 species